ensembl:lncRNA
CCCGAUUACUUCAUGUUUCUACAAUGCCAGGAAACUGUUUAUAACGGCACAUCCUCCAUCCUUCUUUCGGUAAGAACACUUUACAUGAUUUUGGUGAUAAACCAUAGAUUAUGAUAAUUUUAGGACUCAAUGCUAGUAAGAAUUAGAUGACCUCAUUCUGGCAUGCCAGCGUUCCACUGGACUGAAGGGUUUUAAGGUGCUCAAGGUUUGAUUUGGGGACAUAUACUGUUGAAUAUGUUUAUGUACUGCUGAGCUGCAUCACUGUGAGGUAUGGUAUUUUCACAGCUACGCUAACCAAAUAUGUAGAAAGUAUGUUUCUGGGCGACAUUUGACAAAAAAAUUCAGGCCCCAUUCAAAAACAUGACAAAAUCUGCCUUUUUAAUUUGCUAAACAUGGCAAAGGUCAAUCUGUUUCUCUGCCAGAGCAACACUGCAUGUUUCUAUCCCUAGCAGGCUCCACUAUUGCAACCCUGUUACACAAAAAGUGUAGACUCUUUAUAAAAUGUAAACAAAAACACAACACAUUUGAAUUGGAUGCCAGCAAAAUGUUUCAAAAAAGCUGGGACAGAGGCAACAAAAGGCUGGAAAAGUUGUGUAUUGCAAGAAAGAGGAUGAGUCACCCAAAGAGGAUGAGUCACCCAAAGAGGAUGAGUUUUUCAGAAGUAAAGAUGGUGAGGGCAACUGCACCGGCAAAUAGUGCAACAAUUUAAGAUACAUAAAAUUACAAAAAAGUUUGGAGAUCUCAUCAUCUGCCGUACAUAAUAUCAUUAAAAGACCAUAGGUUUUUAAUGCAGCACAUAACUGAAGGUAAAGAAAAAAAGAAAUAACAGGUAAAUUAAAUGUAUGUUGUAGAUCCAUAAAAGCACAUAAUCCUUUUUGCUCCAUUGGGAAUAUGUAAUUGGUCUCCUUCCUAUUAGGAGAUUAUAAUUUCGGAAACAAUUGUGUACGGAAAUGCCAGAUAACAUUGGAAUUGGUCUGCCUCAUUAUUAAUUUCCAAGUAGAUAAAACAAUAGAAAUAAUAGGUCCAUAAUGGAGUCGAGCAUGCUUAAAUUCACCAGUUGGCCAGAUAGUUUCAGUGGUCACGUAAGUCAAAAUAAUUUCACAUUUUUCCUGAGAGUAGAAAGAUAGCUGAUUUGUACAGCAUAUACAAUGCACACAGUACACACACAUACAUACACACACAUUACUACCUGUGGGCAGCCAACUAGAAUGGAACAAGAGGGCUUUUAAAUGCACUACCAAAAUCACAUGACAAUGAAUUUAACCAAUUACAUUUUCUGCUGUUGUAAAAAAUUCAUGUUUUCAUACCUGGGACAUACACAGAACUACACAGCACUACCCUCAACCAAACUGGCACUUUCAAUCUCAGCAUCAAUGACACCAUUGUUUCUGGUUCAGAACUCUGCAGCCAGACUACUGACUCACACCAAGUCCCAGCAGCACAUCACCCCUAACCUCUACUACAGGAAGAAACAACAAUGAGAACAACAGGAAGUGUGUUGGUGGUCGUUAUCUGGUCUGUGACAGGAACUAUGGCAACAGAAUGUGGACAAACAAGCCAAGUGACGGUGUCUCCCACCAACCCAGUGUGGGGACAGGAAGUGAUAGUGUCCUGUAACGACCCCUGUAGUCUGAUUGACAACCAAAACCACACCUACAUCUGGUACAAGAACGGACACCUAGUCGAUUCCUCCAUCCAGCAAUUCAAUGACACCAGUUUUUAUACAACCAGUUACUCCUGUGCUGUAGAUGGUUCUGAGGAUCUCCACUCUCCUGUAGUUUGUGUUGUUGGUUCAAACUGUAUCAAUGUGACUUACACUUAUCAGAGAAUAAUUGCCCCAAAGGGCUCAACUGUGGAUCUUCCCUGCACAUACCAACAUCCAAAUGAGCACACAGUCAUAGAAAUUAACUGGUAUAUCCAAGGAGAACGUGAUGAGGGACCAACAAACCUGAGUUCAUUGCCAGAGUAUUCAGGUCGUGUGAAGUACCUUGGAGAUAAUGUGCGUGACUGUACCCUGAGAAUCACAGACCUGAGAGAGACUGACUCAGCUGAGUACAAGUUCAGAUUUAAAACACCGUAUGGAGAGUGGGGGUACAGCUUCCCUGGAACAACUCUGACUGUAACAGGAAUAGGACAUGCUCUCCUGUCUCCCUGGGUCCCCGUGGUUACAGUGGGGGCCGUCCUCACUGUUGCAGUUCUUCUAGUCACCAUCUACUGUACCAUGAGGAGGAGAUCUACAGGAGGAAGUGACGCUACAACAGACCCACAGACCCCCACAUUGACCAACCAACACAUAUAUGCUGAGUCAUCUGUUUAUGAGAACUUAAGAUAACCACCACAGAAACUGGACUGAAGAGAACCACCACAGAACCUGGACUGAAGAGAACCACCACAGAACCUGGACUGAAGAGAACCACCACAAAACAUGGACUAUGGCACCAAAGCUAAGUCUCUAUUGUUACUGUGUUGCCACAGUGUUUCCAGACAAAUUCAAACUUUAGACUAUAUUCUGUAGUUGAUAUAUUUGUCCUUGUAAUGACAAUGUUCUAUGCAAACAUCUGUUGUAAUAAAUUACAUUAUAUAUGUUCUUCUCUGUUUAGGUAUGUAUCAAAUGUGUUUGAUUAUGAUUCAGCUUUUGUUGUGAUUUUUGCCAUUCAUAUAUUCCUUUAGCUCUUUAGAGAUUGAUAUGGAUAAUACUGAUAACAGAAUUAAAUAUUGUUUGUUCCUGGACCACGUGCUAUUGAUUUGUUCACUGAUUUCAGGCAGACAUAUUUAUUAUAGUAAAAUGCCAAAU